rnacentral:rRNA from 1 species
ACGAGUGGUGCAAGCGUUAUUCGGAAUCAUUGGGCGUACAGGGCGUGUAGGUGGUAUGUUAAGUCUGUUGUUAAAGAUUCUAGCCUAACUGGAGAAAGGCAAUGGAAACUGGUGUACUAGAGGGGGGAAGAGAGAAGUGGAAUUCUCGGUGGAGUGUUUUUUAGUGCAUAGCUCGAUAGGGGGAGCGAAGGCGAGGGCAGCAAAUAAGUAAAUACACCAGUUUUGGGCGUGGAAGGGAGGAGUGUACGUAA